rnacentral:rRNA from 1 species
UGCGUAGGUGGCGCCGUAAGUCGGAUGUGAAAUUUCGGAGCUUAACUCCGAAACUGCAUUCGAUACUGCGGUGCUUGAGGACUGGAGAGGAGACUGGAAUUCAUGGUGUAGCAGUGAAAUGCGUAGAGAUCAUGAGGAAGACCAGUGGCGAAGGCGGGUCUCUGGACAGUUCCUGACACUGAGGCACGAAGCCAGGGGAGCAAACG